GAUGAAGAACGCAGCGAAAUGCGAUACUUGGUGUGAAUUGCAGAAUCCCGUGAAUCAUCGAGUCUUUGAACGCACAUUGCGCCCCCUGGUAUUCCGGGGGGCAUGCCUGUCCGAGCGUCAUUGCUGCCCUCAAGCACGGCUUGUGUGUUGGGCCUCCGUCCUCCUCCCGGGGGACGGGCCCGAAAGGCAGCGGCGGCACCGCGUCCGGUCCUCGAGCGUAUGGGGCUUCGUCACCCGCUCUUGUAGGCCCGGCCGGCGCUUGCCGACACAUCAAUCUUUUUUCCAGGUUGACCUCGGAUCAGGUAGGGAUACCCGCUGAACUUAAGCAUAUCAAUAAGCGGAGGA
rnacentral:misc_RNA from 1 species